rnacentral:rRNA from 1 species
GACGAACGCUGGCGGCGUGCCUAAUACAUGCAAGUAGAACGCACAGUUUAUACCGUAGCUUGCUACACCAUAAACUGUGAGUUGCGAACGGGUGAGUAACGCGUAGGUAACCUGCCUGGUAGCGGGGGAUAACUAUUGGAAACGAUAGCUAAUACCGCAUAAUAUUGAUUAUUGCAUGAUAAUUGAUUGAAAGAUGCUAUUGCAUCACUACCAGAUGGACCUGCGUUGUAUUAGCUAGUAGGUGAGGUAACGGCUCACCUAGGCGACGAUACAUAGCCGACCUGAGAGGGUGAUCGGCCACACUGGGACUGAGACACGGCCCAGACUCCUACGGGAGGCAGCAGUAGGGAAUCUUCGGCAAUGGACGAAAGUCUGACCGAGAAACGCCGCGUGAGUGAAGAAGGUUUUCGGAUCGUAAAGAUCUGUUGUAAGGGGAGAACGGGUGUGAGAGUGGAAAGUUCACACUGUGACGGUAUCUUACCAGAAAGGGACGGCUAACUACGUG